CCUUGUCACCAUAUGUUGAAUGCACCAGUUCUCAUCUGAUCACUGAAGUUAGGCAACAUCAAACCUAGUAGGUACAUAGAUGGGUGACUGCUUGGGAAACUUAAGUGCUGUAAGCA
rnacentral:rRNA from 1 species